rnacentral:rRNA from 1 species
UACGUAGGGUGCAAGCGUUAAUCGGAAUUACUGGGCGUAAAGCGUGCGCAGGCGGUUUAAUAAACCAAAUAUAAAAUCCCCAAACUCAACUUAAAAACUACGUUUGGAACUGUCAGACUAAAGUGCGUCAGAGGGGGGCGGAAUUCCGCGUAUAGCAGUGAAAUGCGUAGAGAUGCGGAGGAACACCGAUGGCGAAGGCAGCCCCCUGGGAUGACACUGACGCUCAUGCACGAAAGCGUGGGGAGCAAACAGG